ACUGAUGUCUUCCUGGUGGUCUAUUGUCUUCCCCAACAGUUUUCCAAUGUUAAGUUCCUUCAGUGGCCAGUUUGCCACCAAAUCGUGAAGAACUUCCCCUUGUUCCUCUGCAGCUGCUGCUGAGGAGCGUACAUGACAUGUAUUUGGAAGGUCUGCCCUGUGGUACAUAAUUCACCUUGUUGAUCUGUUUGUUUGCUUUCAUUUUGUAGGAAGAUGCCUGGUUAAUAACAUCGCCCAUCCUUAACUCUGCUGUGUGGAUGAAUGAGACGGGGGCACUGAGGCUGCAGACCUAUGCGCUAUUUCCAAGGGGAAAGUCUCACUGAACGUAGUGGGACUGACUUCGGAAGAGGCAUGCAUGAUGGAAUUGCUCUGCUGAGGACCUCCAGUGCAAGGACCAAAAUCACCAUGGAAUUGGUCUGCUGUGGAGAAUGUUAACGUGCUACACAUCUUCUCAAAUUGUAUGCCACAAGAUGUCUACUGGAUCAUGGAUGCACAUGAGGCUGGGCCGAAGCCAAUUCUGAAGGGCAGUUUGAUGGCACAUUUAUUUAUAGAGUCACCAUCUUUUCCAUUUGAAAACACCCUAAGUGGUGAAUUAUCACUUGAGAAUUUAAAGGCUUGUUAUGUGAGACCAAGGCAAGCUGAUGGUCUGCCUGAGAAGAGAGGAGGAAGAAUAUGGAAGAAUAUUCACAGAAAGCGAUCCUUUUGCUGCUCUGGCUCUGGUUGAAAGAGCCUAAAGGCUUGGGAGUGUCUUAGUGGGAAUUUUGCUUUUCAAAAAUCUGAGGGUCCCCUCAGUUUCAAAAUUCAUUUGCCUUGUGGCAAGGUGAUGUUGCUAUUGAGGAACAGAACUUGCAGAACUAGCUAUACAUUUUUUCCAUGGGGGUGGGGAUCCAAUAAAAUAAUUUUUGUAAGAAGUGGACAAGAAAUUUAAAAGAGUUGCCAAAGGAGUGAGGGAACGCAUCAAACUGUACCUGCUCGUUUCAUUAUAUAGUCUAUUGCUCGAUCACUUAUAGCUGCAUCACUGGGCUUGAUGUCCAUGAACGGUUUGUUUCCUAUGCCCAUUGACACCAUUUCUUGCAUUCGGAGUUCUAAAAGCAACCAUCCAAAAACAUGAGAGAAACAGUUAGGAAAUAUACAUGUUUGAAAGUAUUUUAUACUAAGAAAACCCAAAAUGAGUGCGAAGGAAAACGACUCUAAUAAUACAAACAAUGCAAAUUAAAGGGGAAGGAUGUAAAUGUUACACUGUUCCAUGUGUGAAAACUGUUGAGCUCCUUGUACAAAAGAAUAUAUGACAGAGACUUUUUUGUUUUGCUUUUUUAACAGAAAAUGUAAGAUUGUGUGCCAAGAGUGCUUCAGAUUCUGCCACAAGAAAACCACCAAUGCCAUUGUCACCUGACCAUUCCUAGGUCCCCAUGCUUGCUCUAAUAGACCAAUAACAUAAUGUAUAUUAAAAUAGUUUAGAUAUGAAAUGCCAUUACAUAACCUUAUUGGAUCUGAGGCCAAGAUCCAACAAAGACGGGAAACAUAUGCACAUGGGUGGUGAUGGGGUGGUUCUGAAGGAGGAAGGCCGACAAUUUCUCCCACCUGCUCACCUCUUGCGUAAUGCUGCUUUUGCUUGUAUUCAGAGAGUGCACAUAGUGACUUGCAGAGUAACCUAAGGAAAAAUAUAGCUCCACAUCCCCAACCACUGAGGUUUUAAUGCACAAAUGAAAUUAAAUGUACCAACACUUCCUUUGGGUUUGGGGUGGGGACUGAAGGGUUAUGACCCAGGGGUCAGACAAGAGUUGACUUUUGAAGGAGGGAUUUGGAAGGGAUUUGCGGUGGCAUUACACUGGUGGUUCUAGGAAAGUGUUUCAGGUAUAAAGGGCAGCAAUAGGCAAAGGGCAGACUAUUAUGGCAGGCACACCUCGGUUUCUCAAGGCUUGUCUCCAAAGAAUCUUUCCUAUGAGAUUUGUCCAUCCAAUCUUAGUUUCUACUGAAUUUGCUUGAAGGAUGUAAGUGUCCUGAGAUUUUCUUCUCCUUCGAAACCAGAUUUCAAAUCUGAGGCCACUAUCUCCAACAUUCUCUGUCAUUCCAAUCUCAGCUGUCUAAAAUAAAAUAAAUAAAUAAAUAAAU